rnacentral:lncRNA from 1 species
UGAUCUGAAAGGAAUGGAAGCACAAAAUGAUGAAUAAGGUAUUUUUAACAAAGAUACAUGGGUAAAUUAACAGCAGUAAUGUAAAAAAGACUGAGGGAGCAACAAUGUGGAAAGGGAAGGAAAGGAAGCUGUAUAGGAACAAUCACACAAAUAAUCAUCAAAAUUAAACUUUAUAAAUCUAAACAUAGUAUCUACAACCUUUAUGAAGGUUAAGUUUUGUUAAAUUGUCUAAGUUUUGCAUUUUUACAAUUUUCACUGUAGAGAAAAAAAUAUUAAUAGUUACCAAAGGAAUAAAAGACUAAAAUAAUUUGUUAUACAUCUGCAAAUAGCUCCUUAAAUUUGGAACACUAAUUUCAUAAUGAUAUUUGGAUCCAUAAAUGUGAAACUGUCACACUGAAUGUAGGUACUGUUUUCCCCACAAUGGAUACUACUGCAUUGGCAUCUAGCAGAAAUUGUAAGCUAUUUGGAAUGUUACUAAACCUACUGGGACUAAGGUUUUCAAUCUUUUGUCUUUCAAAUUAAAAUUAAAAACUAAUUCACUCUGGGCAAUUCAGGUACUCUAAGGAAAUUCAAGUACUCUAGUUUUAAAUACGAAUUUUCAAAAACGCAACCCAAGUACCCUUUCCUCUCAACUUCUGUGAGGCCAAGCCACGACCUCCACCUAUUCAAUCUUUGCUGCUAGAUAACAACCCUUUUGGUAGUGCUAGGCAACAGGCAUGAUGUGACAAACCUAGACAUCAAAACUUUUCCACAGAAAGAUAAGGUAAACAAGAUAUACUUAGCGCCACACCCAUUUAAAUGCACAAGCAACCAAAAUUGCUCCCUCCCCCCGCAACACCCCCCCCCCCCCCCCAAAGCUCCAGCUGGUCAGGAAACAUUGUCUUUACAAUCAAGAUAAACAUCUGGCUCAGGGUGUUCAGCCAUUCCUCACCUACAGGCUUGCCUAAGCCCCAUUCUCCAAUGCCAUCACCACCAGAACCGGAACAUUCUGUUGGGAAGCCGGCAAACGUCCAAAUACCCCAAGUAUCCUCGCCCGAGUUCUGCAACCAAAAAUCUGUUUUGGCUACUGAGCAUGCUCAGACUUAAGACGGGCGCGCCACAUGGGAGUUUUCAAAGCUUAGGCUCCAAACUCCACGUAGUAACAGCAGCUGAAAGGAGGAGAGGGGAAAAGGGGAGGGGAAGAGACUGGAAUAUUAAUUUGAGCCCUGAUAUUGAAGUAUAGGACCCGGCCAGCGGCUGAAUAUGGUGAAGGCAAAAAGACGCUGCUUUGGCAUUCUCUUUGCAGCACAGAGAAGUUUACAUGAAGUAGAAGAAAUCCUUGCAGUGGUGAAAACUGACAUGGCAAGUGGCAGAAACCAGGUCUAACUACCAGCUGAUUGCAGUAGCCGGUCACAACUGCCCAGAGUGUAAUUCCCACCGAUAAGCGCGGAUCCUUAUCUUUGAAACACAAAGCGACGGCGGCACGGAUUCAUCAAGCCAUUGGACAGCUUCGCAGUGCAGCAGCCCAGGCUGCCCGGCCGAGCACCGCAGUCCUAUCAAGGUUUGCUGUAGCUCAGAAGGCUCUGCCUACAUGACUACUGCAUACCCUACUGGGAGAAUUGGAAGAAUGUGAUGAUGGUAGGAGUCACCCAGCAUAGAAGCAUGAGUGAAUGACAUCCCAGAGAUCUGCAAAGGAUCCUGGUAGCCACUUCAAAGACUUUUUCUCCCUUCCUCAGACAAUCAUGGCACAUGGACAUCAGAGGAAGAAAUGGCGAAGUUUGUAUGACUCCUCCAGCAGAGUCCUUGGAAACAAUAAAGCUUCCUUUCCAAAAAAAAAAAAAAAAAAAA